rnacentral:rRNA from 1 species
GUAGGUGGCAAGCGUUGUCCGGAUUUACUGGGCGUAAAGAGCGCGCAGGCGGUCGUUCAAGUCGCGUGUGAAAGCCCCCGGCUCAACUGGGGAGGGUCACGCGAUACUGAUCGACUCGAAGGCAGGAGAGGGUAGUGGAAUUCCCGGUGUAGUGGUGAAAUGCGUAGAUAUCGGGAGGAACACCAGUGGCGAAGGCGACUACCUGGCCUGUUCUUGACGCUGAGGCGCGAAAGCUAGGGGAGCAAACGGGAUUAGAUACCCCGGUAGUCCUAGCCGUAAACGAUGGACACUAGGUGUUGGUGGUAUCAACCCCGCCAGUGCCGAAGCUAACGCAUUAAGUGUCCCGCCUGGGGAGUACGGCCGCAAGGCUA